GAUGAACGCUAGCGGCAGGCCUAAUACAUGCAAGUCGAGGGGUAACAUAACGCUUCGGUGUUGAUGACGACCGGCGAACGGGUGCGUAACGCGUAUGCAAUCUACCUACAGCAGAGGGAUAGCCCGUGGAAACAUGGAUUAAUACCUCAUAAUACAGGGGGCCCGCAUGGGCAUAUUGUUAAAGAUUUAUCGGCUGUAGAUGGGCAUGCGUCCCAUUAGCUAGUUGGUACGGUAACGGCGUACCAAGGCGAUGAUGGGUAGGGGUUCUGAGAGGAUGAUCCCCCACACUGGUACUGAGAUACGGACCAGACUCCUACGGGAGGCAGCAGUAGGGAAUAUUGGUCAAUGGACGGAAGUCUGAACCAGCCAUGCCGCGUGCAGGAAGACAGCCUUCUGGGUUGUAAACUGCUUUUAUCAGGGAAGAAAAGGGUCUUGCGAGACCGAUUGCCGGUACCUGAAGAAUAAGCACCGGCUAACUCCGUGCCAGCAGCCGCGGUAAUACGGAGGGUGCGAGCGUUGUCCGGAUUUAUUGGGUUUAAAGGGUGCGUAGGCGGCUUGUUAAGUCAGUGGUGAAAGGUAUCAGCUUAACUGAUGACGUGCCAUUGAAACUGAUAGGCUG
rnacentral:rRNA from 1 species